GGGCCGGUAACUCAGUGGUAGAGUGUAGGACUGCAGUUUGUUUCUGGUUUCCCGAAGUCACCGGUUCGACUCCGGUUCGGCCCU